CGUGGAGGGCCGAACCCACCAGGGUUGAAAACCUGGGGGAUGACCUGUGGGUGGGGGUGAAAGGCCAAUCAAACUCGGUGAUAGCUGGUUCUCCCCGAAAUGCCUUUAGGGGCAGCCUCGGGCGUUCAGCAUCGGAGGUAGAGCACUGGUUGGGCUAGGGGGCCUACAAGCUUACCGACCUCAGCCAAACUCCGAAUGCCGAUGCUCCAGAGCCCGGGAGUGAGGCUGCGGGGGCUAAGCUCCGUAGCCGAGAGGGAAACAACCCAGAUCGCCAGCUAAGGUCCCUAAGUCUGUGCUAAGUGGUAAAGGAUGUGGAGUCGCCCAGACAACCAGGAGGUUGGCUUAGAAGCAGCCAUCCUUGAAAGAGUGCGUAACAGCUCACUGGUCAAGUGAUUCUGCGCCGACAAUGUAACGGGGCUUAAGCACAGCACCGAAGCUGCGGCAUUCCUCAUAUGGCUCGGCCAUGCCGGGUGACCGGUAUGGUCCAGGCCGAGGGAUGGGUAGGGGAGCGUUCCCACGCGAGUGAAGCGGCGGGAUAACCCAGUCGUGGACGCGUGGGAAGUGAGAAUGCCGGCAUGAGUAGCGAGAGACGGGGGAGGAACCCGUCCGCCGAAAGCCCAAGGCUUCCUGGGGAAGGAUCAUCCGCCCAGGGUUAGUCGGGCCCUAAGCCGAGGCCGAGAGGCGUAGGCGAUGGAAGACCGGUUGAUAUUCCGGUACCACCUCAAUCGCGCCAAUCCCGAACCCAAGCUGCUAAGGGAACCCCUCCGUCUGGAGGGGCUACCGACCCGCUUGGUAGUAGGGAAGCGAAGGGGAGACGCAGAAGGGUAAGUCGUCCCAGGCGCUGGUCGUCCUGGGGUAAGGGUGUAGGGAGGUCCCGUAGGCAAAUCCGCGGGGCCGCUAAUCCUGAGACCUGAUGCCGAGCCGUUACAGGCGAAGCGACCCACCCCAUGCUGCCGAGAAAAACCUCUAGCGAGUGAUUGAGGUGCCCGUACCCCAAACCGACUCAGGUGGGCCGGUAGAGAAUACCUAGGCGAUCGAGAUAACCCUGGUCAAGGAACUCGGCAAAUUGCCCCCGUAACUUCGGGAGAAGGGGGGCCCCGGUAGGGUGAGGCACUUCGCGUGCUCAGCCCGAUGGGGCCGCAGAGACCAGGCCCAAGCGACUGUUUACUAAAAACACAGGUCCAUGCGAAGCCGUAAGGCGCUGUAUAUGGACUGACGCCUGCCCGGUGCUGGAACGUUAAGAGGAUGGGUUAGCGCGGCUUGCCGCGCGAAGCCCUGAAUCUAAGCGCCAGUAAACGGCGGCGGUAACUAUAACCGUCAACUAAAAGGGCGGUUGCAAAACUCGGCUAUAUGCUGGGAACUCCGGUGCAUCCGACGGUACUUCGCCUGAAGUGACAAUCCGAUCGGUGCGGACAAUCAGCAGGGAAGUCUUCGUGACCCCUCAGAGACUGUACGCCGAGCACUCCGCGUGGAGUGAUGAGACAGUCCGACCCCUAUGGCGACGUAGGGAGGGCGGCAGAAAUGACCGUCCCGCCGCUCGAUGAUGAGCGGAGGUAACAGAGUGCCUAAGGUAGCGAAAUUCCUUGUCGGGUAAGUCACACUUGCCCCGCUGGAAGGCGACUUCCAACGCAAACCCGCUCAUAACGGCGAACCCCUAACCGCUUCGACGGCGGGGAAUGCCGUGGGAAGCCCUCUGCCUCUUCAUUGAGGUAUGGCCCCGUAACGACUGAUCCCUUCGGGGUGAGGCUCCUGUCGUGUCAGACCCAGUCGUUAGGCUGAGUCGUGGCAAAUCUAGGGCUGGAGCAAUACGCGGGCUCUCAGGACGGACUUGUGGAUCUGCCGUCGUACAUCUCUGGAUAUGUCGACGGUGAGGGAUGCUUCACCGUCUCUAUCUCCCCGCGGCCGAAACUGUUGGCUGGCUGGGAGGUGAGACCAAGCAUCUCGGUCAGUCAGAACGGCGACCGCAGCGAGGUGUUGCUGGAGCUUCAGCAACACUUCGGCUGCGGCAGCCUUCGGCCUGACCGAAGUGACCGCACACUGAAGUGGGAGGUUCGAAGCCUGCCGCUUCUCCUAGAGCGGAUCAUUCCUCACUUUCGGCGUUAUCCGCUUCGAUCCGGGAAGCAGGGAGACUUUGAGCUCUUCGCCGACAUUUGCGAGCGAAUGGCGAGAGGUGAGCACCGAACUCGGAUCGGAUUGGAAGGGAUUGUGCGACUGGCCGGCAGGAUGAAUCCGAGCGGAAAGCGCGGAUACCUGCCGGAUCGGAUCCUUCAAGGCCUCACUGAGAUGAAGGCAUAGUCUGUCCCUCUGGGAACAGAGGAUUGAGACGAAGUUCCGACCUGCACGAAUGGCGUAACGACUUGGGCGCUGUCUCAACCAGGGACUCGGCGAAAUUGCAUUAUGAGUAAAGAUGCUCAUUACCCGCGACAGGACGGAUAGACCCCGGAACCUUCACUGCAGCUUGGUGUUGGGUCUUGGUACGCGUUGCGUAGGAUAGGCGGGAGGCUGAGAAGCCCGGGCUCCGGCUCGGGUGGAGCCAACCUUGAAAUACCGCUCUUCGUGUGCUGGGACUCUAACCUCGACCCGUUAUCCGGGCCAGGGACAGCGCCUGGUGGGCAGUUUAACUGGGGCGGUUACCUCCUAAAUGGUAACGGAGGUGCCCAAAGGUCCCCUCAAGCCGGUUGGCAAUCGGCUGCCGAGUGCAAGGGCACAAGGGGGCUUGACUGCGAGACGGACGCGUCGAGCAGGUGCGAAAGCAGGGCCUAGUGAUCCGACGGCUCCUAGUGGUAGGGCCGUCGCUCAACGGCUAAAAGGUACUCCGGGGAUAACAGGCUUAUUCUGCCCAAGAGUCCAUAUCGACGGCAGAGUUUGGCACCUCGAUGUCGGCUCGUCGCAUCCUGGGGCUGGAGCAGGUCCCAAGGGUCGGGCUGUUCGCCCGUUAAAGCGGUACGCGAGCUGGGUUUAGAACGUCGCGAGACAGUUCGGUCCCUAUCCGUCGCGGGCGUAGGAGACUUGCGGGGAGCUGCCCCCAGUACGAGAGGACCGGGGCGGACGAACCUCUGGUGUGCCAGUUGUCGCGCCAGCGGCACUGCUGGUUGGCCACGUUCGGCAGGGAUAAGCGCUGAAAGCAUCUAAGCGCGAAGCUUGCCCCAAGAUGAGGUCUCCCAUCCCGUCACAGGGAGUAAGGCCCCUCGGAGACUACGAGGUAGAUAGGCCGGAGGUGUAAGCACGGCAACGUGUUCAGCCGACCGGUACUAAUAGGCCGAGGACUUGGCUUU
rnacentral:rRNA from 1 species